rnacentral:misc_RNA from 1 species
GAUCAACAACAAGAUGCUUAACAAGGAACACGAAAAGGCUGAAGAUUCGAAGCCUCGUGCAGUGCCAACUACAGCUGGAAGCUAAGCAAUCUACCCUCCCAAUUCUCUUUGGUCAUCCACUACCCAGCACUUGUAGCUAGUUGCAAUUGGAACCUGAAUCUGCCUUGUGACAAUCUCGCAAAUGGAGUUACUCUUUAUGUCUGCUCUGUUUUAAGCUUUGUUCCUCCAGAUUUUAGAUGUUUUUGUCCAGUGGACUUUAGAUCAAGUGAUGGAUGACAAUCAUUUUCUUUUGUAUUAACAGAUCAACCUUGUUCCCUUUUUCUUUUUCUCUGAAUUGACGUUAAAACAUAGGGCUCAAAAUGAGGCGUUGUCG